UGAGACACCAAAACAUUGCCAUAGUGAU
rnacentral:piRNA from 1 species